rnacentral:ribozyme from 1 species
GAAAGGAUAUGAGAGAGAGCUCUCUACUUUUUCUCCACUUCCUCCUCUUCCACCUAUAUACCAAUA